GUGGUGCGACAUCACAGAUUGGGGUGUGGCCACUGGUGUUUGGACUGAUCACGGCAGCAGUAGUUAGGAGUCUUCCUUCCAUUUUUAUUCCUAUCCAUGGAUAUUUAGCUACAAUUAAACAGUGUAACCUGGCGCAAUCGCCCGGCUGUCAAACCUCACUGAAUCACCUCUGACAGUGAACAAUUGUCCGGCACUUAUGCUGCUUAUCUGAGUAUGUCCAACAGUGGCUGAGGGAAGCAGAGCCCUUAAUCUGCCUAUAAUCAAACCUGACAGUCACCUGCAGCAAGGUGUGGCGCCACGCAGGGAGCCAGUUAGCCGAGAGCACUGAUCAGCAGCGAGAAACGACCAAGCCAUUAAUAUUAAUCGUCCUAAUCGGGCUGGAGAAUGGCGGCGUGAUCGGAAUGCAAUAGAAGGGAACCGGAAACGUACUGUUAGGAUAAACAUUUGAAAAAAGCAGCUCACGCUGGCUCUAAUAAUCAGGAAGGAGCAAAGAUCUUUGGUUGAGAAAUGGAAGAAACUGGCUGUGGCAACAAACAACCUACAAGAACCUUUUUCACAGUGGCAGAGAGGGAGA